UACGUAGGUGGCAAGCGUUUGUUCGGAAUUAUUGGGCGUAAAGAGCUCGUAGGCGGUCUGUCGCGUCGAUCGUGAAAACUUGGGGCUUAACCCUGAGCUUGCGGUCGAUACGGGCAUGACUGGAGUUCGGCAGGGGAGACUGGAAUUCCUGGUGUAGCGGUGAAAUGCGCAGAUAUCGGGAGGAACACCUAUGGCGAAGGCAGCUCGCUGGGACGUUACUGACGCUGAGACGCGAAAGCGUGGGGAGCAAACAGG
rnacentral:rRNA from 1 species